rnacentral:lncRNA from 1 species
ACAAUACAUGUGGGCAGUCAUAUUUCAUCUUUCAAAACAAGUGGAAUAAUAACACUAGGAAGCCAGCCAACAGUGUCAGCAUUGAGUAAGAAGAGACUAUCUGACCUCUGCUUGCAUUAACGGAAUCUUUAGCUGAUUCAGUUGAUGGUGCCUGAGCAGGACACUCCAGACCUUCCUUUCCUUCUUGACACUCACUAGCAAACAGGCCAGGUGGGUAUUUUCCAUAGAGGUUUAUGUAGCUGAACAUGGUUGAGGCGCAAUCAUUUGUCAGAUCAUUCAACUCAUCAGCAUAAGGGCAAGCAAAGUCCUUAAAGGCACCACAACAGAGCUUGGGUGAGUACUGGGGUCCUUUACACUGGCUUGUGAUGAUUGUG